rnacentral:misc_RNA from 1 species
GUGUGUUCGAUGCUUUUAUAACCAAGGUAUGGCGUUGGCGAUCACGUUUAGUUUUUAAGUGCGUAGUGCGUGUUGCUUUCGGAAGCCAUUGGAUAAACGAUGUGUACUAGAAAUAGACAUGUUACGAGAAUCCAUUACAAUGGAUAUCUAAAAUAAAAUAUAUGUUGAGUCAAUACUGUUUCUAAUUGAUGUAUUAAUUUUAUAGGUAUUUUUAUUGUACAUAUAUAUAUUAAUACCUACGUGAAGUAAAAACUUUGUACCUCUUUUUACGAAAAUUGCGAAAAAUAGUAUGAAAUUUCGCACACUUAUAGUUUAUAUAG